AUUUUGAGAUCGUUUUAGUUUUUGUGUUUAGGGGGUGUCGUACCUUUUGCAUCAUGAUUCUUUGACGGAAGUUGGUUAUAUUCAGUGUCUCGAAAGGCAACGAUUUAGGUUUAUCUUGUUUUAGAACUUAGGGAUUGGCGGGUAGCUGAAUCUUAAAGAUAGACUUGGAGGCGAUAGGUAAUGCGUGUUGCUUUAUAGCUAGUUUUUGAGUGCUUUUUCGUUUUAGCCUUGUUGCUUAAAUGUGAUGGGGCAGUUAAGAGAGUGUAUGUCUAUGGUUUUAAGGUGGGUUAAAGGUACCCAGCUUUAGUUUCGUGUUAUAACGAUUUUUUGUCAUAGGUUUUCUUUAGUUUGGUACUCAAAUAGUUUGGAAUAUUUUGUUUAAGUAUGGAGGGAUUAGUAGUUUUAAUAGUUCCUUUUUUUCUCGAAUUUCUUCAGUCUGUUUCUUAAAAACAUUGCCAUUGUUAGAAUUUUGAUGGUAGGGCCUGCUCGAUGUUUUAAUAAAUGGCCGCAGUAUUUUGACUGUGCUAAGGUAGCAUAAUUAGUUGCCUUAUAAUUGAAGGAUUGUUUGAAUGGUUUAACUAGAGGAGUAUUUUAGAUGGGGGCUAUUAUUGAAAUUAGGUGGCUGGUGCAGAUCCCAGCGUUUUUUAAUUAGACGGAAAGACCCCGAGAGCUUAAUAAUAAUUUGUUGUUUACUUGGGGCAAGAGCAUAUGCUUUAUAUGUUUUUGGAUCCUUUUGGAAGGAGAUUAGUUACCUCGGGGAUAACUAGGUAAGAGGCAAGGAGAGGUCAUAUCGAUUUGCCUGUUUGCUAUCUCGAUGUUGACUUAGGGUGAGUAUGAGGGUGCAGUAGUUUUCAUACAUGGUCUGUUCGACCGUAGUUCCCUUCAUGAGUUGAGUUAAGACCGGCGUGAGCCAGGUCGGUUCUUAUCUUUUAUUGUUGCGGUUUCGUACGAAAGGAGCAUCCGUGAUUUAGGUU
rnacentral:rRNA from 1 species